UGACAAAGUGCUUUUGUUAACAAUUGCCAAUCUCACGUGGUUCGAUGCAUAUUCGUAAUAAUUGGCGCCGGGCAAAAUGGUGGAGGACUUUCGACAAAUUCAACGUCACAACAGUCCAAAAUCUGGUGAGAUGGGCGUGGUUAUGAAUAUGAAGGUGGAAAGAAUGUUGCAACCUGACUUGUUUCUUCAUAUAGGCCCCAUCAUCUCAAUAAAGGCAUGCAUGAAAAUGCACAAGACCCCUGGAUUGUGAGUGUUCAGUUUGCAAGUGGAGUUGUUCGUUGGAUUGUUCGGAAUCAUCGGCAAAGGGGGACAAGGUUGCAUGUUAAAGUGA